rnacentral:rRNA from 1 species
GAUGAACGCUGGCGGCGUGCCUAAUACAUGCAAGUCGAGCGAACAGACGAGGAGCUUGCUCCUCUGACGUUAGCGGCGGACGGGUGAGUAACACGUGGAUAACCUACCUAUAAGACUGGGAUAACUUCGGGAAACCGGAGCUAAUACCGGAUAAUAUAUUGAACCGCAUGGUUCAAUAGUGAAAGACGGUUUUGCUGUCACUUAUAGAUGGAUCCGCGCCGCAUUAGCUAGUUGGUAAGGUAACGGCUUACCAAGGCAACGAUGCGUAGCCGACCUGAGAGGGUGAUCGGCCAGACUGGAACUGAGACACGGUCCAGACUCCUAGGGGAGGCAGCAGUAGGGAAUCUUCCGCAAUGGGCGAAAGCCUGACGGAGCAACGCCGCGUGAGUGAUGAAGGUCUUCGGAUCGUAAAACUCUGUUAUUAGGGAAGAACAAAUGUGUAAGUAACUAUGCACGUCUUGACGGUACCUAAUCAGAAAGCCACGGCUAACUACGUG